rnacentral:lncRNA from 1 species
GUUAGUAAGGGUGUAAACGAACCGAGUCGAUCCGAGUAUUGAGUUGCUCAGAUUUGGUUUACAAAAUUUAUCGAGUAUAAAAUAAGAUUUGAUUGAGGCUCAUUUAGCUACCGAGUCGAGCACGAUUCCGAAUCGAGCUCGAGCAGUUUGGAAUUUUUUAACGAAUAUGAUCCGAGUAUCAAUAGUAAAUUAUAAUUUGAUGAGGUUCGAGUAAUUUAUCGAACUUUAUAAUGUGCUCAUAUUUGACUCAUUUAUAUUUCGAGUCGAGCUCGAAUCGAACUUUUAGUCGAGCGAGUCCGAAUCGAGUCCGAACUGUUUGCUCAUUUUACAACCUUAAUUGUUAGAGAAAUCACCGGACACCUCGAGAAAGCAAUUCUCUGAAUAUUCAUUAAAAUACGAAAGAACUGCAUUGCUGUCCUGCAACCUUCCCAAUCUGAAAUGUGCACAAUCAAAAGUUUAAAAAUACAGUAUAAGGAAAUAAGUCACUAAAUUCAAGGUACCAUCUGUAGUUAAGUAAGUUAACACUUCAAAAAUCUAUUUAAAGAGUAAUGAGGAGGGAAAAUAUACAAAAUAAAAAAAAUCUUAAAGAAUAUAAAAAAUUAAUGUCUAAGAAUCUUAGUUACAGUAAAACUAGAAUCGACAAUCACAAAAAAAUAUGCAAAUGACAAUCAUUGGACAAAAAAGUAUGUUUUUAGCCAGAGAGAUGCAUCAUUAUUUUAGGAAUGUUAUUCACAAAUAUAAAGGAGCACCUCUAACAAUUAUUCAGGUAAUCAUACCUUGAUGUACUACUAGCACAUAGGAAGUGAUUCAUUUGGCGUCGGUUAGUCAGUCAGAACUUACUUAUAUAUAAAUGUAGUAUAUGUUAGUAUAUAUUUUGUGAAGAUUCACUAAAAACAAUGUUGUUAUAGACUAUAGUAAAUUACAAUAUGUUAUUUAUAAAACAAAAUGCCUCUCAAUUUUGCUUGAGAGUAAUCAAAUGAAGUUAAAAAUCUCCAAUAGAUUCCCCCUUGAUAUUAACAUCUACCAUUAUCACAACUAGGAGUGAUCAUUCGGUUAUAACCGAACCGAAUAGGUUAUUCGGUUAUAACCAAAUACCGAAUUAUCUGUAAUUUUACUAUCCAAAACACUAACAGAAAUUUGGAACAAACCGAAUUACCGAAUACCAAAUUACCGAAUUGUACAUUUGGGUAUUCGGGUAAUAACUGAAAUGUUAUGUAAAAAGUAAUUUCAGAGACUAAAGAGGGGAAAUAGAUACAUCCAUAAAAGCUAAUUAAAGUGUUGACUGGAAAUUACAUCCAAGAAUUAUCAUUGUUCAUAACCUCCAGGCUCCAGGCAAACAAGCUUUAUCCUUUUUCUCCACUUUGCCACCCCGCAAUACAGCCAUCUUCUUUAACAAAACCCAACAAUCUCAGAUACUAAUCUCUAUUUAAUUCAAUCUUGAAAAUAUAAAAUCAACGAAUCAUCAAAUCUGCCACACCAAGUGCAUACAUUUAUAGAAAAAGCAAACACUAAUCAAAAUAAUAACACAUAUAGCCCAAAAUUAAACUUCAUUACAUCUAUUUAAUUACCAAAAUCACAAAUAAAUCUUAGUAAGGACCACUUUUUAGAUUCAACUCACUUCAUAUAAAGCUUUAUUUGACCGAAUAGGUUAGCCUCCAGCAACUCCUACGAUCAAGCUCGUCCAGUCAAAAAUCUUCCGCUACAAAGCCUUCGAGCCAAUAAGACCUCCUCAAUCGCCACCGUUUUGUCGGCGUCGACAUGAGGAUCGGCAUAGAUCUACGACAUCCGACAUCCGCCAGAGCAACAGAAGAAGGAGAUUUGAGGAGGAGCCGAAGAUCUGAGGUGAUGACUAGUGGAAGCCGAAGAAGAAGGUGUGAGCACUACUGGGUCUGGUCUGGGAGAUGAAUGAUGGUGACUGAUGAGUAAUAAUAGUAGUCAGUAGAUAAUAAAGUAGUGGAGUGAUG